rnacentral:rRNA from 1 species
CAGCAGCCGCGGGAAUACGAAGGGUGCAAGCGUUAAUCGGAAUUACUGGGCGUAAAGCGUGCGUAGGCGGUGAGUUAAGUCUGCUGUGAAAUCCCCGGGCUCAACCUGGGAAUGGCAGUGGAUACUGGCUCGCUAGAGUGUGUCAGGGGAUGGUGGAAUUCCCGGUGUAGCGGUGAAAUGCGUAGAGAUCGGGAGGAACAUCAGUGGCGAAGGCGGCCAUCUGGGACAACACUGACGCUGAGGCACGAAAGCGUGGGGAGCAAACAGGAUUAGAUACCCGCGUAGUCCCUGUCUCUUAUAC